UUGAACUGAAGAGUUUGAUCAUGGCUCAGAUUGAACGCUGGCGGCAGGCCUAACACAUGCA
rnacentral:rRNA from 1 species